CCUANGGGCGGCAGCAGUGGGGAAUCUUGGACAAUGGGCGCAAGCCUGAUCCAGCCAUGCCGCGUGAGUGAAGAAGGCCUUAGGGUUGUAAAGCUCUUUUACCAGGGACGAUAAUGACGGUACCUGGAGAAUAAGCCCCGGCAAACUUCGUGCCAGCAGCCGCGGUAAUACGAAGGGGGCUAGCGUUGUUCGGAAUUACUGGGCGUAAAGCGCACGUAGGCGGGUCGUUAAGUCAGGGGUGAAAUCCCGGAGCUCAACUCCGGAACUGCCUUUGAUACUGGCGAUCUAGAGAUCGAGAGAGGUGAGUGGAAUUCCGAGUGUAGAGGUGAAAUUCGUAGAUAUUCGGAAGAACACCAGUGGCGAAGGCGGCUCACUGGCUCGAUACUGACGCUGAGGUGCGAAAGCGUGGGGAGCAAACAGGAUUAGAUACCCCANUANUC
rnacentral:rRNA from 1 species